rnacentral:rRNA from 1 species
CACUCCUACGGGAGGCAGCAGUGGGGAAUUUUGGACAAUGGGCGAAAGCCUGAUCCAGCAAUGCCGCGUGUGUGAAGAAGGCCUUCGGGUUGUAAAGCACUUUUGUCCGGAAAGAAAUCCUUGGCUCUAAUACAGUCGGGGGAUGACGGUACCGGCAGAAUAGCACCGGCUAACUACGUGCCAGCAGCCGCGGUAAUACGUAGGGUGCGAGCGUUAAUCGGAAUUACUGGGCGUAAAGCGUGCGCAGGCGGUUUGCUAAGACCGAUGUGAAAUCCCCGGGCUCAACCUGGGAACUGCAUUGGUGACUGGCAGGCUAGAGUAUGGCAGAGGGGGGUAGAAUUCCACGUGUAGCAGUGAAAUGCGUAGAGAUGUGGAGGAAUACCGAUGGCGAAGGCAGCCCCCUGGGCCAAUACUGACGCUCAUGCACGAAAGCGUGGGGAGCAAACAGGAUUAGAUACCCUAGUAGUCCCAUGA